rnacentral:rRNA from 1 species
CACGCCGUAAACGAUGGAUACUAGCUGUUCGGAGCAAUCUGAGUGGCUAAGCGAAAGUGAUAAGUAUCCCACCUGGGGAGUACGUUCGCAAGAAUGAAACUCAAAGGAAUUGACGGGGGCCCGCACAAGCGGUGGAGCAUGUGGUUUAAUUCGAUGAUACGCGAGGAACCUUACCAAGGCUUAAAUGUAGUUUGACCGAUUUGGAAACAGAUCUUUCGCAAGACAAAUUACAAGGUGC